CCCUGCAGCUUAAGAGCGGUUGCUCACUGAAGCUAAGCACACUGAGCCUGGUCAGUACCUGGAUGGGAGACCACAUGGGAACACUAGGUUGCUGUUGGAA
rnacentral:rRNA from 1 species